UUCACCUCCCCCUCCCUCUCUGGUGUCACCCAGGACUGGCUGGCUUGCUCCGUGGCUGCCUACUCUGCAGACAAGUCCCCAUGUAUCACCUUGGGACAGGAGACAGAAAAUCUCUUUACACCCGCAGGGGUGAAUUAGCUGCCUAUGAAGCUCUGCUUGGCAGGGUGCGUGUAAUCUCUGAAUCAAAGCAUGAGAGAGCGAGCAGGGGACUUCGCUUGUAGCAGAGCGCUCUGGCCCAGUAAACUGCAUGCUCACUCCCGUCAUGAUGAUGCCACAGUUCGUCUACAGCAGGUGGGGCAGGACAUGGAGGCUGAGUGUCCAACCCCUUGGGGAUAGUAAGUGGUGACAGAGACUCCAAAGAACGCAUGACCAGAAUCAGAUGACGUUCUACCCAUGCUUUGCCAGCCAGGACAUCACCGUGACAACUUCUCACCUCUGUCAUUGCACAGGAAGAGCAGUGAGAGA